AGAGCUUGCUCUUAUGAAGUUAGCGGCGGACGGGUGAGUAACACGUGGGUAACCUGCCCAUAAGACUGGGAUAACUCCGGGAAACCGGGGCUAAUACCGGAUAACAUUUUGAACUGCAUGGUUCGAAAUUGAAAGGCGGCUUCGGCUGUCACUUAUGGAUGGACCCGCGUCGCAUUAGCUAGUUGGUGAGGUAACGGCUCACCAAGGCAACGAUGCGUAGCCGACCUGAGAGGGUGAUCGGCCACACUGGGACUGAGACACGGCCCAGACUCCUACGGGAGGCAGCAGUAGGGAAUCUUCCGCAAUGGACGAAAGUCUGACGGAGCAACGCCGCGUGAGUGAUGAAGGCUUUCGGGUCGUAAAACUCUGUUGUUAGGGAAGAACAAGUGCUAGUUGAAUAAGCUGGCACCUUGACGGUACCUAACCAGAAAGCCACGGCUAACUACGUGCCAGCAGCCGCGGUAAUACGUAGGUGGCAAGCGUUAUCCGGAAUUAUUGGGCGUAAAGCGCGCGCAGGUGGUUUCUUAAGUCUGAUGUGAAAGCCCACGGCUCAACCGUGGAGGGUCAUUGGAAACUGGGAGACUUGAGUGCAGAAGAGGAAAGUGGAAUUCCAUGUGUAG
rnacentral:rRNA from 2 species